rnacentral:rRNA from 1 species
AUUGAACGCUGGCGGCAUGCCUUACACAUGCAAGUCGAACGGCAGCACGGGUGCUUGCACCUGGUGGCGAGUGGCGAACGGGUGAGUAAUACAUCGGAACAUGUCCUGUAGUGGGGGAUAGCCCGGCGAAAGCCGGAUUAAUACCGCAUACGAUCUACGGAUGAAAGCGGGGGACCUUCGGGCCUCGCGCUAUAGGGUUGGCCGAUGGCUGAUUAGCUAGUUGGUGGGGUAAAGGCCUACCAAGGCGACGAUCAGUAGCUGGUCUGAGAGGACGAGCAGCCACACUGGGACUGAGACACGGCCCAGACUCCUACGGGAGGCAGCAGUGGGGAAUUGUGGACAAUGGGCGAAAGCCUGAUCCAGCAAUGCCGCGUGUGUGAAGAAGGCCUUCGGGUUGUAAAGCACUUUUGUCCGGAAAGAAAUCCUUGGCCCUAAUACGGUCGGGGGAUGACGGUACCGGAAGAAUAAGCACCGGCUAACUACGUG